rfam:Trichomalopsis sarcophagae strain Alberta scaffold61, whole genome shotgun sequence.
CAAUCGGCCCUUUUCAGGGCCAACAGAUUAUUAUAACGUACGCAAU